AUUGAACGCUGGCGGUAGGCCUAACACAUGCAAGUCGAACGGCAGCACAGUACUAGCUUGCUCUUACGGGUGCCGAGUGGCGGACGGUUGCGGAAUACAUCCGAAUCUACUUUUUCGUACGGGCUAACGUAGGGACUCUUACGCCAAUACCGCAUACGACCUACGGGUGAAAGCAUGGGAUCUUCCGACCUUGCGCGAUUGAAUGAGCCGAUGUCGGAUUAGCUAGUUGGCGGGGUAAAGGCCCACCAAGGCGACGAUCCGUAGCUGGUCUGAGAGGAUGAUCAGCCACACUGGAACUGAGACACGGUCCAGACUCCUACGGGAGGCAGCAGUGGGGAAUAUUGGACAAUGGGCGCAAGCCUGAUCCAGCCAUACCGCGUGGGUGAAGAAGGCCUUCGGGUUGUAAAGCCCUUUUGUUGGGAAAGAAAGGCAGCAGGUUAAUACCCCGCUGUUCUGACGGUACCCAAAGAAUAAGCACCGGCUAACUUCGUG
rnacentral:rRNA from 1 species